rnacentral:rRNA from 1 species
UACGUAGGGGGCAAGCGUUGUCCGGAUUUAUUGGGCGUAAAGAGCGUGUAGGCGGCUUUACAGGUCCGUUGUGAAAACUCGAGGCUCAACCUGGGAAUGGCGCUUGUAACUGGCAGGCUAGAGUGUGUCAGAGGGAGGUAGAAUUCCACGUGUAGCAGUGAAAUGCGUAGAGAUGUGGAGGAAUACCGAUGGCGAAGGCAGCCUCCUGGGAUAACACUGACGCUCAGGCACGAAAGCGUGGGGAGCAAACAGG